GAUGAACGCUCGCGGGAGGCCUAACACAUGCAAGCCGAGCGGUAUUGUUUCUUCGGAAAUGAGAGAGCGGCGUACGGGUGCGUAACACGUGUGCAACCUGCCUUUAUCUGGGGGAUAGCCUUUCGAAAGGAAGAUUAAUACUCCAUAAUAUAUUGAACGGCAUCGUUUAAUAUUGAAAGCUCCGGCGGAUAGAGAUGGGCACGCGCAAGAUUAGCUAGUUGGUGAGGUAACGGCUCACCAAGGCGAUGAUCUUUAGGGGGCCUGAGAGGGUGAUCCCCCACACUUGGACUGCGACACGGACCAGACUCCUACGGGAGGCAGCAGUGAGGAAUAUUGGUCAAUGAGUGCAAGCCUGAACCAGCCAUCCCGCGUGAAGGACGACUGCCCUAUGGGUUGUAAACUUCUUUUGUAUAGGGAUAAACCUACCCUCGAGAGGGUAGCUGAAGGUACUAUAAGAAUAAGCACCGGCUAACUCCGUG
rnacentral:rRNA from 1 species